AAGUCGUAACAAGGUUUCCGUAGGUGAACCUGCGGAAGGAUCAUUCACACAUAAAAAAUCCACUUUGAGUAUAUGUUGUAGCAAUAUAAUGUAUAUUUAUUGUGGUAAACCCAAAUAUAAAACAAACCCCAAAAAACGUCGUUACACCCCUACGUCAUUACACCUACCGAACCUGAAGAAAGGCUAUAAAUAGUGCCAUAUUGUAAUGAUAUGGCCGCUGAGUAAGGUGAGGGACCCCAUGCUCGAAGUUAGGCUAUAAAGAAUGCCAUAUUGUAAUGAUAUGGCUGCUGAGUAGAGUAUGGUAAAACUUUUACUACUAAUUUUAACUUUUAACCUUUUACUAACCAAAAUUACCUAAAUAAAAUUUAAAUACACAACCCUUUGCAAUGGAUAUCUUGGUUCUC
rnacentral:misc_RNA from 1 species